rnacentral:rRNA from 1 species
UACGAAGGGGGCUAGCGUUGUUCGGAAUUACUGGGUGUAAAGGGUUCGUAGGCGGUGUGGCAAGUCGGGAGUGAAAUCUCUGGGCUCAACUCAGAGACUGCUUCCGAAACUGCUGUGCUGGAGUGUGGGAGAGGCGCGUGGAAUUCCUGGUGUAGCGGUGAAAUGCGUAGAUAUCAGGAGGAACACCGGUGGUGUAAACGGCUUUCUGGACCAUAACUGACGCUGAGGCACGAAAGCGUGGGUAGCAAACAGG